rnacentral:piRNA from 1 species
UGUAAGACUCUAGCAUUCAUAUGUGGUUC